GAUGAACGCUGGCGGCGUGCCUAAUACAUGCAAGUCGAGCGAAUGGAUUAAGAGCUUGCUCUUAUGAAGUUAGCGGCGGACGGGUGAGUAACACGUGAGUAACCCGCCCAUAAGACUGGGAUAACUCCGGGAAACCGGGGCUAAUACCGGAUAACAUUUUGAACCGCAUGGUUCGAAAUUGAAAGGCGGCUUCGGCUGUCACUGAUGGAUGGACCCGCGUCGCAUUAGCUAGUUGGUGAGGUAACGGCUCACCAAGGCAACGAUGCGUAGCCGACCUGAGAGGGUGAUCGGCCACACUGGGACUGAGACACGGCCCAGACUCCUACGGGAGGCAGCAGUAGGGAAUCUUCCGCAAUGGACGAAAGUCUGACGGAGCAACGCCGCGUGAGUGAUGAAGGCUUUCGGGUCGUAAAACUCUGUUGUUAGGGAAGAACAAGUGCUAGUUGAAUAAGCUGGCACCUUGACGGUACCUAACCAGAAAGCCACGGCUAACUACGUGCCAGCCGCCGCCGUAA
rnacentral:rRNA from 1 species